rnacentral:rRNA from 1 species
AUUGAACGCUGGCGGCAUGCCUUACACAUGCAAGUCGAACGGUAACGGGCCUUCGGGUGCCGACGAGUGGCGAACGGGUGAGUAAUGCAUCGGAACGUACCUUUCAGUGGGGGAUAACGUAGCGAAAGUUACGCUAAUACCGCAUAUUCUGUGAGCAGGAAAAGCAGGGGAUCGCAAGACCUUGCGCUGAUUGAGCGGCCGAUGUCAGAUUAGCUAGUUGGUGAGGUAAAGGCUCACCAAGGCGACGAUCUGUAGCGGGUCUGAGAGGAUGAUCCGCCACACUGGAACUGAGACACGGUCCAGACUCCUACGGGAGGCAGCAGUGGGGAAUUUUGGACAAUGGGGGCAACCCUGAUCCAGCCAUGCCGCGUGAGUGAAGAA